rnacentral:rRNA from 1 species
GACAGCAGUAGCCGCGGGAAUACGAAGGGUGCAAGCGUUAAUCGGAAUUACUGGGCGUAAAGCGUGCGUAGGCGGUUUGUUAAGUCUGCUGUGAAAUCCCCGGGCUCAACCUGGGAAUGGCAGUGGAUACUGGCAAGCUAGAGUGUGUCAGAGGAUGGUGGAAUUCCCGGUGUAGCAGUGAAAUGCGUAGGUAUGCGGAGGAACACCGAUGGCGAAGGCAGCCCCCUGGGCCAACACUGACGCUCAUGCACGAAAGCGUGGGGAGCAAACAGGAUUAGAUACCCCAGUAGUCCCUGUCUCUUAUAA